CUCCUUGCCCUAGAGACUACCGGGCUAGAUCUCAACUUUCCAUCCAUGCUGCUAUCCAAUCUCCAUGUGUUCCUUUUAUUUAGAAAAGUUUACAUCGCAAGAGCAUUUGUGAGGUGGAGCAGGGGAGGUGGUUGGAUCGGGGCUGGUGGUGCUGCGACGCCGAUGCAGUGGUCGGGGAGACGUCAUGCUGCAGCCGAGGAAGCUCGAGAGGCGGCGACUAAAGGAGGCUCUACUGGAUGUGGAGAAUCUCCACGGCGCGAUGGAUGAGGUGGGCGAGUAGAUGGGCAGCCGACGAGGUACACCGUACACAGGAGGCGGCGAUGCCCUGGACGGCUGUAGAGCCGAGGUGCGGCGAGCAGAUGGGCAGUCGGCGAGGCGCACAGGAAGCGGCGGCGCCCUAGACAGCUGCAGAGGAGAGAUGCCACAAGGGGAGGAGGAGCUCAGGCAGAGCAACUCCUCGCUUCUGUCUCCAUGUCCAAAGUAGUAUCCCUCGACGCUGCAGUUCUCAAAAAAUAUAGAUCACAAUCUAAUUUGUCCUCUCCUUGAUCCCCUUCUUCCAAAGAAUGCAGUUUCUUCAGUUCCAAAAUUCAAAUCAAUGCACAAUCAUCAUCUUAAACAAACACAAGAUCCAAUCCCAGCCUCCCCGGAUGCUUUGCUCCUCAAUAUUUAAAUCCCCUCAGUUUCACCAAGCACCAUGAUUUUUCAUAAGAAUUGAGUGUUGGUCAGUUGGAAGAUGGAGACAGUUUGAAACAGGUUGAGCGGUCGUCACCGUCGGCGAGGCUGCGAAGUGGACGAGCAACACUCCCUCUACGCAGGCAGGGUUCCUGCGGGCGGACAGCAAGAGGUACACACACGGUGGAAGCAGGCAGGUGGUGGGUGUGGCGACAACUACGAGCUGCAUGUCUCCGGCAGCUGCGUUGCCUUCUACGCUAGACAAUUAUAUCAUACAUCCGCUAAGGGUAACUACAAGGUGUUCUUCACGGAGCUCAAUUGAGCUGAAUUAGUCGAGUUGUUGGGUAAGCUAACUAAGCAUCCUUUUGGAACUAUGCUUUCAUCACGUAUUUGAAAGAUAGCAGAACAUACAUUUCAUCCACAUGCAAAGAACUGAAGUAAUUAAAGAUAGUGUGAAUUAGUACAAUUUACUGCAGAUUCAAGAACUAUUGUAAACAUUGCAAUGGAAUACUUCAGAUUUAGUAGAAUUUGUUGUAAGGUAAUGAUAUUACGUAUAUAAAUGAUUGAAAACAAUUUAAUUAGUUGUUUCCUUCUGUGUUAUUUUUAAAAUAUAAUUUCACAGAAUUAGCCUUUUGAUUCAUUUUGUUUUCUAUGAUAAAUUUGUGAUUACUAUGUCAAAUGUAAGAAACCUAUAUAUUAAGAUGCUUUUCUUCAUGUAAAUUGUGUAGACCUUAGAUUACUAGGUUGAUUGUAUUCUCUUAGCAUUGCUCAUCGUGCCUUGAAAGAAUGUGUUUCCAACAGUGCUAGAACUGUUUAAAAAUGUCAGGAAUGAUAUCGUCCGCAUCAUCAGUUGAUGAGAGAAAUAUGUGCAGAAGAUUUUUAUAGGAUCAUUCUAGGCUUAGACAUAAGUUGUAGAUAAUUGAUUUACAUCCAAUAACAACCUAGAAAGUGUUUGACACUCAAGAUAUAAAAUUGACUUUGGAAUCAAGAAGUUUUUAUUCCAUAUGUAUAUAUGACUAUCAUAUAUGCUAGACUAUCAUAUAAUUAUAUACGAUCAUUAAGUAUCCACUAUUCACAAUCACGUACGACUAGAAGGUUUUUACAAGAUUGUGAUGUAGCGGCUGGGCAUGCCGGGCCACAUAUCAUGAAAUCCCUCCUCUCUUCUCCAUCUUGAUGAAUUCAGCGGAGAGCCACCAAUAUUUUUGCUUUAUUCGUAAUUUCUCAUCAAGACAUUUUUUUUGGUUUUGUACAUUUUUCACGACACAACGCUUACCAGACUAUGAAUUAUAGGGAGUGAAGGAGAACCAACCAGCUGAGAUAAUCUGUGUGGCAUUUGCUGCCAACUAGCAGAGUUGUGUACAUAUAGAAAUCAACCACUGUCAGCCAAAUCUUUUUGAUGUUUAUAGAAGCUUUAUAGACGUUUUCCUAAGUAAAGGAUUUCGAGAUUGUACGUUUUUUUCCAAUAUGUGCUAACUUUCAGAUUAUCUGCAUGUAUAACAAACAUUUCUUUUGUCCAGGAAUAAGAAACAUAUCUUAUAAAGUGUAUAAUAUUUUAUUGGUAGAUUUGUAAGAUUUAAGUAUUGUUGGUUGUGCAAGAAAAUAGCUUCAUGUAUGGAUUAUUGAGUUACACAUGCUUCUGUUUAUGGUUUGUUUGUUGUAUUUGGAAACAGAUCUAGAUAGAUGAUCUUUAUAAUACAGAACAUUCAUAUUAAAAUUUUCCUGUGUUUUUAGCCAUGUAUUCCAUAUUAUCAUUGUUUUUUUAGUAAUAUGUGUGAUCCUUCCUUUGCAGUUACAGUAUUCAGAUAGCAUAGUUUCCACUUACAGAAAAUAUGCUAAAAGAAUUUUCAGUUACACUUUCCGAGUGCCCUCACAAUGAUUUUCAUGUUUCUUGCAAGGGCUUCUACAUAAGGAUAAAUCUGUUCUAAAAAAUAGUAGAUUUAUGUAGUCCCAUUAUGCGCAGCAAUAUUCACGCAUGCCUCUACAUCUACUUCAUUGAAUAGUAAUCUGCAAUCUUCAUUAGCAUAGAACAACAAAAUCUGUGAGAAAACUUACACAUCUUUAUCUCAAAUCGUUAAAUGGGUUUAGGUACUACCAAUUUCAAUAUGGUCGCUUAUGUUUCUUUUGUCAUUGAUAGUUUCUCACAAGUCCUAACUUCUACAGGUAAGGAAUUGAUUUACCUCUUGAUAGUUUUCUUUCCUUUGGAAUUUAUCUUUCUGUUGCAACCAAAUUACAUUAUUAUUUUCUGUAAAUCGAAGUUGAAAUCCAUGGUUUCUCUAUGCUGGUAAAAAAUAAAGUACCCAAUCUCUUUUCUUAACACAAUAUGCAUCUUAUCUUCUCUCAUGUAAGCAAUCUCGAUAAGACUCCUCUAUCUUUAAACCACACUCAAGUCCAUGGUUUUCCUCGGCGCGACAAACUAUAGUUGGAUCAGUGCUUCAAAAGACGUGGCGUGGGCUUGAAGGAUAUGCCGAAGGCAUCCGAUGGUUGGAGGGAUCGCCAAGGGGAGGUUCCCAGGGUUAUGAACUACCAAGUAAUUUGUAUUUUCUUUAUUACUGUAUUUUUUGUUUGUCCUAAAUACUAGAUUCAUAUUUCUUGCUUUCCAUUGUUUGUAAUAUUAUCCAAACUCCUCACGUGUUUAUGUUGCUUGAAUAUUUCAGACUGAGUUAGAAGUAAACCACAUGUCUUUCAUAGUACUUCUGGAUGGUCAUAGCUAAAAUGAUAGCCUGGCUGUGUACACUAUUUGGUCACAGCUAAAAUGAUAGCCUGGUUGUGUACACUACUUCAAGAAUUUCUCUGACCAACCACUGUUACUUAUAAACUACAGAGGCUCACUGGCCUAUCCACAACUAUUUCAGAUUGUUAAACCUCGCCUAAUCUCAUUGUAUCUUUUUGCAUUAUGUUUUGGCUAGAAUUAUCAUACAUGAUUUAUCUUUGUCUCUUUCAUACACAUUCUUUCUGCAUGAGAAUUGAGGAGGCUAAACAAUGGCAUAAAUCAGAACAGUGACACACUUAUCAUGAGAUGGUACUUCUGUACAAACAGGGUAAGAAAGCUAUUGGAAUUUGGUGAACUUAUUAAUCGGUGAUGUUGUAAUAACUGACAAAGAGGUUGCUGAGUUCAGUCUUACAAAUAGAAAGAUGCAUGGGUACUUCUGCCCAGUCUCUAUUUGGUUUUCAGUAGUGAAGCUACAACUACUUUUUGUUUUUAGUAUGAAAAAUCCAAUUUUUGCACAUUGUUAGCCAGAUUCUCAAAUGAUUUUGAAGACCUUUAGUCUCUAUUUUGUACGCCCAUGGAGAUGCUUGCUAAGUACAGUUGCAUCACAAAAUCUUAUGUGUGUUGUGGACUAUUCUUACCCGUUGAUAAUGCUACUUAGGAAACCACUUGGAUGCCAUCGCAGAACAGAGAAAGAGGCGCUAUGGACUAGGGUUUACAUGCUGGCUACGACCGACUGAAAACAUAAGACAUGGAUUGACACAGAAACAUGCUAUGGCCUACAUGCUACUAUAUUAUCCUUGAGCUUAGUUUUAUUUGGAAGGGAGAAAGGAAGGAAUGUUGAUGACCCACCAUCCAGCGGCCAACCCAAUGCAAGGU